UACGUAGGUGGCAAGCGUUGUUCGGAAUCACUGGGCGUAAAGGAUGCGUAGGCGGUUAAACAAGUUAUAUGUUAAAUAUAUAGGCUUAACCUGUAGAAAGCAUAUAAAACUGUUUAACUAGAGUGCAGGAGAGGUAAGUGGAAUUCCUAGUGUAGCGGUGAAAUGCGUAGAGAUUAGGAAGAACACCAGUGGCGAAGGCGACUUACUGGACUGUAACUGACGCUGAGGCAUGAGAGCAUGGGGAGCAAACAGG
rnacentral:rRNA from 1 species